UCGUAACAAGGUCUCCGUUGGUGAACCAGCGGAGGGAUCAUUACCGAGUUUACAACUCCCAAACCCAAUGUGAACCAUACCAAACUGUUGCCUCGGCGGGGUCACGCCCCGGGUGCGUCGCAGCCCCGGAACCAGGCGCCCGCCGGAGGGACCAACCAAACUCUUUCUGUAGUCCCCUCGCGGACGUUAUUUCUUACAGCUCUGAGCAAAAAUUCAAAAUGAAUCAAAACUUUCAACAACGGAUCUCUUGGUUCUGGCAUCGAUGAAGAACGCAGCGAAAUGCGAUAAGUAAUGUGAAUUGCAGAAUUCAGUGAAUCAUCGAAUCUUUGAACGCACAUUGCGCCCGCCAGUAUUCUGGCGGGCAUGCCUGUCCGAGCGUCAUUUCAACCCUCGAACCCCUCCGGGGGGUCGGCGUUGGGGAUCGGGAACCCCUAAGACGGGAUCCCGGCCCCGAAAUACAGUGGCGGUCUCGCCGCAGCCUCUCAUGCGCAGUAGUUUGCACAACUCGCACCGGGAGCGCGGCGCGUCCACGUCCGUAAAACACCCAACUUCUGAAAUGUUGACCUCGGAUCAGGUAGGAAUACCCGCUGAACUUAAGCAUAUCAAUAA
rnacentral:misc_RNA from 1 species